CCGCACCCUGCCAAGGAGACAGUAAGCAAACACUGAGCUGGCACCGGAAGCACACCUGCCCUGAAGGGAGUUCAACGCAGGGAAAGUUUUCACAGGGCAAUUUUGCCACAGCAUUGCUUGUCCCAGAACUUUGAAUGGAUGAGGUGCCUCAAGUGACUCAGGUAAUGCCAGUCAGCCCUCCUGUUAUACAACACAGGAAGGAGAGUGUUUUUCUGAAAAUUGGAGCUCAGAGCCAAAGUCUACAAUAUUUGGUUGGCUGGGUUUUUCCCGUUUUGACAUGUUAACAAAGUGGAGUUGGCAUUCAGUGAGAUAUGCUUGCCUAAAUCGAGCUGUGCAUGUGAGGCAGAUUAUUCACUAUAGCACGACACACAUAGUCUGCUAACAGCAGCGGAAUUGAGUUGGGCAUAUGUGGAGCUUGUUUCCAAAAGGUGCCAAAUCCAUCUGAACACCUUUUACAGGAAUAUGCAAUUUUCCAAGCCCUGUAGCAAAGUGAUUUGAUAUACAGUAGAGUCUCACUUAUCCAAGCCCCGCUUAUCCAAGCUUCUGGAUUAUCCAAGCCAUUUUUGUACUCAAUGUUUUCAAUACAUCGUGAUAUUUUGGUGCUAAAUUCGUAAAUACAGUAAUUACAACAUAACAUUACUGCGUAUUGAACUACUUUUUCUGUCAAAUUUGUUGUAUAACAUGAUGUUUUGGUGCUUAAUUUGUAAAAUCAUAACCUAAUUUGAUGUUUAAUAGGCUUUUCCUUAAUCCCUCAUUAUCCAAGAUAUUCGCUUAUCCAAACUUCUGCCGGUCCGUUUAGCUUGGAUAAGUGAGACUCUACUGUAUUUCGAUAGUUUUGAUUUUUACAUAAUAUUCUACUACUAACCAACAUUAUGCUGCCACCUAAAACUCAUUUUUCUUUUUAAUUUGGUACCUUUUGGAAACAAACUCCUCGAUUCCGGCCACAGGGGGAGCUGCCGCCUCAUUGUCCACUUGUGACACCGAGUACUUCAUGGAGUACUUCCUCAUUCUUCCACAGGCAGCUGGAAGUUUUUAUAGUGUCGUAAAUUAGUUAAAAUAGCCUUCCCACAUAAAGCAGUACCUACAUUUUCAACUUGACAGAAGUUGCUUAGGUCAACAAUUAGUAGGGCUAUUAAUGGUUGUUAGCUCAAUCUGACCUGGGCUAGCUUCAAACUCAUGACCUUUCGUCAGUAGUGAUGUAUUGCAGCUGGCUGCUAACCAGCUGUGCCACAGCCCGGCCAUAGCCUGGCCAUGUAACUCUGAAUGUGGAUUUAAGUGCUGUGUUGAAUGGAUUUUAGAUGGCAGGCUUCAUCUGUGUAAUUGUGUGCAUUGUAUGUACAAUACUACUGUGUAGCUACAAGUUCAGAAGAAUAGUGACCAAAGCUCUUCAGCUUUUAUAAAAGUAUAAAAGUCCAUUUUUGCUACAGGGCUUUAAAAUGCAAAAAUAAUGGAAAUUGUGUUCAAAUAGGGUAUGUUCUUGAACAACGUAUUUCUUUGAAACUUCAGAGAAUAAAGUGCUGUUGAUAAGGCAGCUCUAGUUAUAAUCCAGAAUAUGUCCUCAACAGAUCAGCAAGCAUUUGUAGUGGGUUUUUAAUCUACAAAUGGUCAUAACACUAUAUGCAUACCAAUUGCAACUCCCUAGGAAGUUACAUUUUUUAAAAAACAAAAAGGUAGGUUUUGAUUUGACAUAGUCACUCUGGUGAUAAAAAAAAUGAAUGAAAACACAAAGCAAUUGUGUGUAUCAGCACAUCUUCAACAUACAUAGCUAUUUCAGACUGUGAGAAAGAGUAGAUUUGAAAGAUCUCUGCAUUAGACUUUCUGCUAUUUCCAUGAAAAAAGAAACCCAGCACACACAAAUUUCCCAACAUGUGUACAGAUUGAGCAUUCCUUAUCCAGAAUUCCAAAAUCCAAAAUACUCCAACAUCCAAAAUUGCCGACAUGGAUGGGUAAGAUAGUGACACUUGUUUCAUGAACAACAUUAUUAAAACUAUUUAUAAAACAACCGUAAUUUAAAAUGUAUAUAGAACAUAAAUGGACUUUAUGUUUAGACUUGGAUCAUAUUAUGUAGUAAAGGUAAAGUCCAGUUGUGUCUGGCUCUGGGGGUUGGCGCUCAUCUCCAUUUAUAGCUGAAAUGCUGGCAAUGUCCAUAGACACCUCCAAGGUCCUGUGGCUGGCACAACUGCAUGGGGCGCUGUUACCUUCCUGUCUGAGCAGUACUUACUGUGUUUCCCCGAAAAUAAGACAGUGUCUUAUAUUAAUUUUUGCUCCCAAAGAUGCGCUAGGUCUUAUUUUCAGGGGAUGUCUUAUUUUUCCAUGAAGAAGAAUUCACAUUUAUUGUUGAAGAAAAAAAAAUGAACAUUUAUUAUAUACUGUACAGUAGUUGUAAUCACAAACCAGCAUAACCAGACAAACUGUGAAUCCUAUCAAUAAUUUCUUGUUACUACCAUUAUUUCCAUGUACAACUGGUAUGUACAUUUACCAAUCCUGCAUGCUCUGGUGUUCUGUUUGGCAGGCACUGGGCAUGCUUCCAAACAAAAACUUGGCUAGGUCUUACUUUCGGGGGAGGCCUUAUAUUUAGCAAUUCAGCAAAACCUCUACUAGGUCUUAUUUUCUGGAGAUGUCUUAUUUUAGGGGAAACAGGGUAUUGAUCUACUCACAUUUGCAUGUUUUUGAAUGCUAGGUUGGUGGAUGCUGGGGCUAACAGUGGAAGCUCACCCCGUGCUCCGGAUUCGAACCACCAACCUUUCGGUCAGCAAGUUAAGCUGCUCAGUGGUUUAACCUGCUGCACCAUUGGGGGCUCACAUUAUGUACAUAUAUGCAAAAAAACUCCAACACACAAGUGUCCAAAUAUGUACACAGAACUUUCAACUUGUGCAAGAAUUUCUCACCAUUGUGUGGCUUCCCAGUUUUCUAGAUCACUGAGUGGAAGAAAACAGGCUUUUGUAGUCCAUCAGAACACGUCUUUAAACAGGAUUCCUGGAGAUAAAAAUGUAAGAAAGGGAGAAUUCUUGGCAUGCUUAUAAUACUCCAGUGAAUACCUGCUUUUAUCCCUCUUAAGAUCACAAUCUAAACUCUGGGAGUGUGAGUCAGGGCAGGAAGGAUUAGUCACCAAACCAUUGUCUCUGCCUGCCAGACUAACUGUGUCCACAGACAUUACUGAGUUGUAGUUGGGGGAUAAAUCAGUAAGUAUUUGUUUUUAUUGAUAACUCAUGCUUUCUAUGUCAUAAGCAAAAGUUAACCUUGGAACAGAUACUUUUUGUUAUUCAAAGUGAUGGUAAUAAUGUAUAAAGCAUAUAUAGCUGAGGUCCAGGUUAUCUGAAGGAUGGCAUUCUAACAUAUGAGUUUGCCCAUAUCUUGAGAUCUUCUGGGGAGAUCUGUGUUUCUGUCUCAGUAUCUUUGGGGGUACAUCUGGUGGGAGAAGGUCUUCUUGAUGGCCACAUCUUGUGAACUACCUUCCUAGAGAGCAUAGAUUCAUGUCCUCUUUGCUGUCCUUCUAUAGGCAGGUGAAGACCUUUUUCUAUCAACAGCCUUUUGAGGACCGAGUUCUCAAGGAGAAAGGCUUCCCGGAAUGUGCUGUACUGUUUGUUGUUUUCUUUUUAGUGGUCAGGAUUUUAAGUGUUUGAAAAUGUUAUUGUUAAAUUUAAUUCUGCUGUAUUUUAAUCUCUCAUUGUUGCCUGUCUCAAUCCAUGGGAAGAAACUGGUGAUAAAGAUGAUGGUGAUGAUUUAAAACUUUUGUAUGAUAGGAAUUUUUUAAACCUGUUUUAAUUUCUUUAAGCCACCUUGAAUGCUGGACUGCAAAAAGCACAAGACAUUUAUCAUAAGUCAUCACCUAGUAAUCCUAGUAGGAAUAGUUGGAUCUUCAAUGGUAGAAUAAUAUGUUUUUCUUUCUGAUUUAUUUCUUUCAUUACAGUUUGGGUCGGGGAGUUAGAGCCCUUUUAUGCUUUAGUCAAUUUGUGUUUGGUAUUUUGGCUUAUUAUUAUGAUUAUGUUUGUUUAUACCCUGCUUUUUUCUCCAGAAGGAGGCUCAACAGUGUUUUAGUGUUGUUUUCAUUUGCAUUUAGUCUUAAUGAGUUGUCAAAGACUUUCAUGGCAAGAAUCACUGGGUUGCUGUGAGUUUUCCAGGUUGUAUGGCCGUGUUCCAGAAGCAUUAUCUCCUGAUGUUUUGCCCACAUCUAUGGCAGGCAACCUCUGAGGAUGCCUGCCAUAGAUGUGGGCCAAACAUCAGGAAAGAAUGCUUCUGGAACAUGGCCAUACAGCUUGGAAAACUCACAACAACCCAUUUAGUCUUAGUUCUCUCUCAGUCACUAGUAAAAACAUAACCUUAACAAAUUUAAAUGUAUAUUUAUAAAUAUACAUUUUUCUUCUUUAUUCCUUUUCUUCCUUUUAUUCUGAAUAUUUACUACAUUUAUUGUUAAUUUUAUAGUUUAAAAAAUAAUAAGCAAAUAAAUUUUUCAUCUUCAUCCCCAUCAUCAUAAUGGGGACAGAGCUGAUCAGGUUCUGUAUUUUUUGAGGCACUACCUUUACAAACAUUGCAUUCAGGGCUGGAUCAAUCUGAGUUUUUCAUAUAUGGUUCCGUUAUAUCACUGCAAUCACUUAGCAGUGAGCACUUAAAAUCAACAAGUGGAAGUGCUGAAAGAUGGGAGGCCAGGCCAGGCCAAGAUAAUUUGGGGCCCAAAGCACAGUAGCAAGUAUCUUCCAAUCCCCCAGUGCCGAGCACAUUAUUUUGGCAUAUGUAGUAGAACAUCCCACAAAUAUUUCUCCUCAUAUGUGGCAAUAAAAAUAUAACCAUAACAAAUAUUAAUUUAUUAUCCUAUGGUGACCUCACUGCCAAAUUAUAGGACCUCAUGAGAAAUGGUCAUUAUUAUUCUAGUAGAGGAUAGGAGGUGGGGAGUGGGACAGACUGAGGAAUGAGGAAUGAAUGUGCUUCUUGAAAAAUCCUCUCAUAAAGCAACUUAGCAGAUGUCUUUCCUUUCUCAACAUACUCUUGAGAAAGCGACACAGUAAAUGAUAGGGUUAUCAGAUAGCAGUGUUUGCAAAGCAGUGAGAGAAUGGUUCUGUCUCUUAUGCUAAUGGCUGCAAUUUUUCCAAGAUUAUAGUGUCAGCAGAGCCGGUCCAACAAUGAGGCGAAUUAAGCGGUCGCUUCGGGUGCAAAACAUACGGGGGCGCAGUCGAGACUGCUUUUUCUGUUGAUUUGUUGUAAAACAUGAUGUUUUGGUGCUUAAUUUGUAAAAUCUUCAUGUAAUUUGAUGUUUAAUAGGCUUUUCCUUAAUCCCUCCUUAUUAUACAACAUUUUAGCUUAUCCAACACUUUUAUUUUUCAGUGAUUGGUUUGGGGAGGGGGAGCACCAAAAUUCUGUUCACCUACACUUGAAAAAUACCUAGGGCCAACUCUGAGUGUCAGCAAGGUAAGUCAAGCAAAACCUGCUUGUUCUUUGAACUAUAUGGUUCUCUAAAUGUCUUAUUUUCUUCUGUGCCUAGGUUGUGUUUCUUCCAUAACUGUCUAUGCCAGUUUGGUUACAUGGGCAUGCUGCACCAACAGGAUUCCAGCCUCUAUCUCCAAUCUAAAGGUGGCCCUUCUUAAAGAAAAGAGUUAAUCAAGAGGUUCAGUUUUAUCUCUCAUGGCUUGAAUAGGGACAAAGACCUUUUGUUUCAGUGGAGGUAUUAAUCAGCUCAUUUAUGAAGGGAUACCUAUAUAACAACUUGCCCUUUGUUUAUUAAAUGCAAACUGAUUGGCAUUUCACUGCCUGUAGUUUUUGCAUUGUUGUUCCCUUUGGCUCUUUCCAUUAUCAUGCCUUACCAAAGUAACAGUUCUCAAUUUUUGACUCUCCAGAAGUUUGGACUUCAAACUUCCAGAAGAAUCAAACCCUAUGGGAUUCUGCUUGCUGGAGUCCAAAAUAUGUGGUGGACAAAAGUUUUAAAACCUCUGAUGUAGAAAAUAAUCUCUGGAACUUGGAUUCUUUGAGCCACCAUACAGGUGUUUUGGACUUCAGCUCCACAAUUCUUAACAGCUGGUAAGCUGGCUGGGAGUGCCUUGGACUGCAAGAAGAUCGAACCAGUCCAUACUCCAGGAAAUAAUGCCUGACUGCUCACUGGAGAGAAGGAUAUUAGAGGUAAAGAUAAAGUACUUUGGCCACAUAAUGAGAAGACAGGAAAGCUUGGAGAAGAUAAUGAUGCUGGGGAAAAUGGAAGGAAAAAGGAAGAGGGGCCGACCAAGGGCAAGAUAGAUGAAUGCUAUCCUUGAAGUGACUGGCUUGACCUUGAAGGAACUGGGGGUGGCCACGGCCGACAGAGAGCUCUGAUGUGGGCUGGUCCAUGAGUUCACAAAAUGUUGGAAAUGACUGAACAAAUAAACAACAAGCUGGUUGGGA